GCCAGUGAUUUUAACCUGCCCCACCUUCCAGUGACCUGCCACAUGCUCCUUCUUACUUUAUAGACAUCUGGGAAUUCCAUACAUGCCUUAAACUCCAAUUACACACCUUCUUCAAAGGACACGUGCUUUGAUUUGCUAAGAACAUUAAGUGGGCUCACGUCCUGGGGCCUUGGGACAAAAGCAAAUGGCAAAUGUAUCCCAUGCCCGGUUUACUGCGUCUGUCUUUUGCUGUUCAGUAAAUAAGGAUAAUUAAUAAUCCUGUUGGCAUUUUUGAGGUCUCGGUUUCGAGGUUUCCGGGAAAGAGUGGGGUUGCCGGCUUUGAGAAAUUACGAGGAAACCGAUUUCUCCUUCCACUUUGACGGUGCACUUUCCUUCCACUUUCGCUGGUGCUGGGGGUGGGGCACAGCUUACGACGCAACAGGCAGAAAAUUCUGCAAAAGUGGCCCCCGGGGAUCCCCCGCCCGACCCCUGUUUGUCGCUAAUACAGGCCUGUCUCUGGAAAUUUGAGGCUGGGCCUUUGCCUGACUCUGUUGCUGCUUUCGCCUUUGCUACCGCUGACACUUGGAACCGCCGCCUCCGCGCAGCGGCCAGACGCGGGGCCCGGAGCGGUCUACGCAGUCGGAGGAGGGCACCGACAUUGUCUUUCUCCACCGUGCGGCACCGGACCGCCACCCACGCAGGGGAGUCUGGGCCUGCGCCCCCCGCCCGCGCCCGCCGCAGAUGCAGGGAAAACCGCCUGACAUCAUGAGAGCGGGACAAACGCUCACUUUGAAGGAUUCCUGGGCAGGACUUCAAGUGAAAUCAUAUGCCUGAGAAGAACUUGAUACCGGUCUAGAGAAAAUAACCAGUUCUGAGUUUGCCAAACCGUGGAAUGUGCAAAAUGCUCGACUUUUUUGCAAGAGGCCAAGUGUCCCUUAAAAAGCUCCAUUAUGAAUAUGAGCCUGAAGACUGCAGGAGCAAGAAGCUUGUGCCGUUGUUGAGUGUGGGAAAAAAGUACACACAGUAUGUGAGUUUUUGCUAUUUAACAUUAUUUUAUUAAUAAUUUUUACCACUUUAGAGAGGAUACCUGCAGCUGUGCAUGAAUUAUCAUCUGUGCAUGUGCUUAGCAAGUGUGUGCACAAAGAAGGAACAUAAAUGUGUGUAUAAGAACAAAAAUUUACUUUCUUAUGACUGAAGGCUAUCAAUCCAACGAAAUUAAAAGCAAGAUUUAAAAAAAAAAAAAAACUAUGUGCACAGUAAAGGAACCAUUUUUACUCAGUGGUUUAUAGAAUUCACCCAAGGCUAUUUUAUACAGCAUUUUUCCCUCCAGUGAAUGCAUUCUGGCUAAAGGGUAGAGUCCCCCAGUCCAGCCAUCACAUUAAAUUCUCACUUCUGAAGCAGAGGUAAUUCAUUUUAAGUGUCCUUUAAAUAAGAAUAGGUAGCAAAAAGAAUUAAAACAGGAAAAAAAUAGUAGAGCAAAAGAAAUACAGGUGGCUUUAUUUCUAUUCUAAAAUAGAAUUAGCAUUGUUAUGUGCAAGGGGGAGGAGAUUGGCAAUACAAAAUCAGUCUGCAACCUGAAAAUUGUAUAAUAGUUAAUAUUUUCCAUGAAUUAUUCUCAUUCAAAGUAAAGCUAUUCAUCGCCUUUCAUUCAUUCAUUCAUUUCUCUGAAAAUCUAGGGGAAAAAUAUUACCUUCAGUUUAGCAACACAAAUAUGGUAUUUUUCUCCACAGGGUUCUCUUAUGAGAAAAGAGAACAAAAUACUAAAGAAAAAGAAAAAAAGAAAAAAAUUAAAAAGGCAAAUGAAAAGCUACCUUUUGUGAAACCUCUGGGUUUUAAAUCAUCAGAGAUAAGAUAGAGAUUACCUUCUCAGCAGUGACAGUCAGCUCCAUCCUGAUGUACGUCAAGAAAUCUGAAAUAUCAAAUAGUCAGACCAAGCUAGUGAACAAGGAGAUUCCUCCAUGAACAGUUUAGAAAAUGGAGGUGUAGGAUGAUACACACAAAAGAGAGAAUUACCAUCUUGAUGUGCCCUCCCUCAUUCUUCUAGGGUACCCUUACAUUUCUACCCUAUACACACGCACUCCCUCUCUCUCUCCACUCUGCCAAUACACCCACACCCUACAAAUACAUGCACACAUAAUCACUUUCCCGGCUCAUGUAGUUAUUUGGUAAAGGAAUACCAAAAUCCAAACAAAUUCCCCAAGCCUUCACUAACCUUUCAGUGUAAGUAAAUGCUACAGGGUCCUUAUCCUAAAAUACGGUCUCAAAUAUUCAGAAUAGUAAAUUUACAAUAUUGUUAUGUCAGCAUUCCCUGAUGUUGUGUGGGAGGGAAUGAAAAACCUUCAGGUAAUAAGAGCCUCAAUCUGAGUUGAACAAACACAACCUGUUUGGAUUCAUAUACACUUAUCUGCCAUAGCCUUUGUUUGAAAUAGACAACAAAAUUAUUUUCCAGUUUGAAAGCUUGCCAGAUUACACCUGAAUGCAGUAAACUAGAUGUAAAAGUUAAGCACUGAGUGAUACAAACGUAUUGCUCCUAAUGAUAUUAGUUAUGAGCCAAUAUUUUCCUGGUUCAGAAAUAACCAUAAUGAAAUAAAAAUCAAGCCCCAUUUGCCCAUUUAACUUAACUUCAUCAGAUUUUGUACACCUAUAAGUAACCAAGGAAAAAUUCCGUGUAAUUUUGGAUAAAAUCUACUUGCUAAUGAACUGACCAGAAAAUGAAUAGCUAUUGCAUUUAAAAUUGUAAUUGUUCCAAUUGUUACUGAAGAUACUGGAAGUUCAGGUUUUUUGCUUAUUGUAUUUGACUCCAUAGUUGUAUGUUCUUUAUACAUAUAAAAAAGGAGCAUGCUUCCCAAAUAGGUAACAUCAACAUGGGAAAAUAUUCUUAACUAUGGCUUUUCUUUUAAGCAAACAUGACAUUAAAUAUCAUUUUCAUUCAUGAAAGAGAGAGGUAAAUUACAACUGGAAUUAUCUUUCCUGCUGACUUAAACUUUACUAUUUUCAGUG